GACGAACGCUGGCGGCGUGCUUAACACAUGCAAGUCGAACGGAAAGGCCCUGCUUUUGUGGGGUGCUCGAGUGGCGAACGGGUGAGUAACACGUGAGUAACCUGCCCUUGACUUUGGGAUAACUUCAGGAAACUGGGGCUAAUACCGGAUAGGAGCUCCUGCUGCAUGGUGGGGGUUGGAAAGUUUCGGCGGUUGGGGAUGGACUCGCGGCUUAUCAGCUUGUUGGUGGGGUAGUGGCUUACCAAGGCUUUGACGGGUAGCCGGCCUGAGAGGGUGACCGGCCAAAUUGGGACUGAGAUACGGCCCAGGCUCCUACGGGAGGCAGGAGUGGGGAAAAUUGCACAAUGGGCGGAAGCCUGAUGCAGCAACGCCGCGUGCGGGAUGACGGCCUUCGGGUUGUAAACCGCUUUCGCCUGUGACGAAGCGUGAGUGACGGUAAUGGGUAAAGAAGCACCGGCUAACUACGU
rnacentral:rRNA from 1 species